rnacentral:rRNA from 1 species
UACGGAGGGGCUAGCGUUGUUUCGGAAUUACUGGGGCGUAAAGCGCACGUAGGGCGGUCUUUGAUUGAAGUUAGAGGUGAAAGCCCAGGGCUUAACCCUGGAAUUGACCUUUAAGACUUGCAUCGGCUAAGAAUCGUGGAGAGGUGAGUGGGAAUUCCGAGUGUAGAGGUGAAAUUCGUAGAUAUUCGGAAGAACACAGUGGCGUAAGGCGACUCACUGGACACUGUAUUGACGCUGAGGUGGCGAAAA